CAUCGUUUUCAGCUACUAUAUUGAAAAUACUCCCUGCCCAGUGACUAAAUGUUUAACGGCCGCGGUAUCCUGACCGUGCAAAGGUAGCAUAAUCAUUUGCCUUUUAAUUGAAGGCUAGUAUGAAUGGGUAGACGAAGAUUCAUCUGUCUCUAUAAUAAUAAUAAAACUUAAAUUUUAGGUGAAGAUGCCUAAAUCUACUAGAAAGACAAGAAGACCCUAUAGAGUUUUAGUUAUAAUUUAUUACUCUAAUAUAAUAUAACUUUGGUUGGGGCGACCUAGGAUUAUUAAACAUCCUACUAUUUUUUGAUACAUUUAUCUUAUUAAUUGACCCUAAUUAUGGAUUAUCAGAAAUAACUACCUUAGGGAUAACAGGCUUAUCUUCCUAGAGAGCUCUUAUUGAUAGGAUGGUUUGGCACCUCGAUGUUGGCUUAGAGUAACUUAAUACCGCAGCA
rnacentral:rRNA from 1 species